UGUCGGAUAGCUCAGUUUGGUUAGAGCACAAAGCUGAUACCUUUGGGGUCGCUGGUUCGAAUCCAGUUCCGACAA
rnacentral:tRNA from 1 species